rnacentral:lncRNA from 1 species
UCCGGGUUACCGUGACGAUAACACUCUACAUAAAAAAUAACACUCUACAUAAAACAUUGCAGGCAUCCGAGCCAACAAUGGGAAAGGGAAGUUUACUAGGUUAAAGGCGGCAUAGACUGACGUUCGUUCCGAAACCUCCUUAAGUUGCUUCCAGGUUAAUUUGACAGCGGCAAGAUCUGAGAUGGAUCCUGCAGCCACUAGUUGGAGAACUUUCUCUUGCAGUUCAUCUGGUAGGGAAAACAACC